GUGAGAUGGGGGGAGACUCUUCUGAAUGGUGUGGUGGCGGAAGUGGGGGUGGGGGGGAUGCAACAGUCUUGUUGGACUGGAACAUAGAGUUCAAAUGGCGGAAUUUCAGAGCUUUGACGCUCUACUAUUAAGAAGGUCCAGCAAGUUCUGCCGUGAACAGUUGUGCUCAUAGCUAGCUGUGUGAUCUUGAACAAGUUUCUUUGUCUCCAAAACCUAGUUUUGUUACAGGUAGAUAGGCAAGAGUGGGCUCUCCCCCGACGCACUAGAAAUGUCGGAUGACAGUUCCACAGUUAUCGCAUUGCCUCUCUAAAAAUCAUAAUUCAGCAGCCAGGGAGAGACAAUCUCCUGAUGGUCCAUAACCUUGACAUUAAAAGUGUUAACUGAAUACAGAUCCCAGGGAGAAGCAGAUUCUUGGGCAUGUGUGUUAAGAGAUAAAAUGGCAAAGUAUGACUUUCCGGGGUACACGCCACAGGAAAAAGGAAAAAGUCUCAGGUGGGCAUGCGUGUAACUCCCUAAACGCACUGCGCGUGCUCAAUUCCAAAGGCUAAGGAAAGCAUUGCGCAUGCGGGAAACCCACGCUGAGGGAAGAAUCAUGGGAAAGAGUAGAGACGGGGUUCCACCGUGUUAGCCAGGAUGGUCUCGAUUUCCUGACCUCGUCAUCCUCCCGCCUUGGCCUCCCAAAGUGCUGGGAUUACAGGCUUGAGCCACCGCGCCCCGCUCUUUCGUGUUCCAAAGGCUUUUUAAAUAAACUUCCACUCCUGUCCUGGAUUCUGCUUUAUGGCCCUCAGUCGAAUUCUUUCUUCUGAGGAGGCAAGGACUGAAGUUGCUUCUGACCAGUACAGGUACGCCGCAGGAGAAAACGAAUACAGCAGGGAUGACUUCCACCAGCUCCACUUUGCAGCUCUGAGGUGUAUUAAAAAUAAACCUAGAGCCCCACCAAAUGAAUCCGCUGGCACGUGGACCUCAGAUGGGGGAAACUGAGGACUGAAUUCUGACCACCCUCCUUUGUUCUAAAUUUCUUCCUGAAGGACCUGGAAGAAGUCAUGCCACGGGCCAGACCUUAACAUUCCUUUCGGCUUACCCCAGGAUUUCAGACAAAGCUUCACUUUCCUAACCAGUCACAAAUCAGAGAAUUUUUGAUUCCACCUAUGACCUGUGAGCUCCUGCUUCAAGAUAUUCCACCUUUUUUAGGCCAAACCAAUGUAUAACCUCCAAGUGUCGAUUUACACUUUCGACUGUAACUUCUGCUUUCCUGAGAUUUACCCCUGCCUUUAAAAACCCUUGCUUGUAAUCCCUCAGGGAGGCCGUGUAUUUAUUAAUCAUGAGCUGCCCAAUUCUCCUUGCUUGGUGCCCUGCAAAUAAACACCCUCUUUUCUCCCACUGCAAAACCUCAGUGUGGAUGUUUGGCUUUACUUCACCCCCAGGAAAGCAGACCCAGGUUUGACUCAGCAACAACAUCUGUUUCUAUUUUUCUCUGUAUAAAUAUUAAAAACCAUAAGUACAUGCUAUCUCCAAUUCCAAUAUAAACCCAUA
rnacentral:lncRNA from 10 species